GUCUAUAGCUGUGUCACCCUGAAUGUGCCUGAGCUCAGAACCUAAUCAGGGUUGGGCCUGGUUGGUACUUGGAUAGGAGACUUCCUGGGAAUACUGGCUGCUGUAAGCU
rnacentral:rRNA from 1 species